rnacentral:rRNA from 1 species
GAGUUUGAUCCUGGCUCAGAACGAACGCUGGCGGCGCGUCUUAAGCAUGCAAGUCGAACGGUAAGGGAGAGCUUGCUCUCCCCUAGAGUGGCGGACUGGUGAGUAACGCGUGGGUGACCUGCCCUGAAGAUGGGGAUAGCUAGUAGAAAUAUUAGAUAAUACCGAAUGUGCUCAUUUACAUAAAGGUAAAUGAGGAAAGGAGCUACGGCUCCGCUUCAGGAUGGGCCCGCGUCCCAUUAGCUGGUUGGUGAGGUAAAGGCCCACCAAGGCAACGAUGGGUAUCCGGCCUGAGAGGGUGAACGGACACAUUGGGACUGAGAUACGGCCCAAACUCCUACGGGAGGCAGCAGCUAAGAAUCUUCCGCAAUGGACGAAAGUCUGACGGAGCGACGCCGUGUGAAUGAAGAAGGCUGAAAGGUUGUAAAAUUCUUUUGCAGAUGGAGAAUAAACACAGGA